rnacentral:rRNA from 1 species
AACGAACAACGCUGGCGGCGUGUCUUAAGCAUGCAAGUUGAGCGGCAAGGAGGAGAGAUCCUCCCUAGAGCAGCGGACUGGUGAGUAACGCGUGGGUAAUCUAUCUUAGGCAUGGGAUAGUCACUAGAAAUAGUGGGUAAUACCGAAUAAGUUCCAUAAGGGGAGGACUUAUGGAAGAAAGGUGCUACGGCACUGGCCUUAGGUGAGCUCGCGUCCCAUUAGCUAGUUGGUGAGGUAAAGGCCCACCAAGGCGAUGAUGGGUAGCCGGCCUGAGAGGGUGUACGGCCACACUGGGACUGAGAUACGGCCCAGACUCCUACGGGAGGCAGCAGCUAAGAAUAUUCCGCAAUGGACGGAAGUCUGACGGAGCGACGCCGCGUGGAUGAAGAAGGCCGAAAGGUUGUAAAGUUCUUUUGCUAGGGGAGAAUAAGUGUGGGAGGGAAUGCCUGCACGAUGACAAGGACUAGCGAAUAAGUCCCGGCCAACUACGUG